UACGGAGGGUGCAAACGUUGCUCGGAAUCAUUGGGCGUAAAGCGCACGUAGGCGGUCGGCUAUGUCGGAUGUGAAAGCCUCGGGCUUAACCCGAGAAGGGCAUCCGAAACUGGCCGGCUUGAGUACGGAAGAGGGUCUCGGAAUUCCCGGUGUAGAGGUGAAAUUCGUAGAUAUCGGGAGGAACACCAGUGGCGAAGGCGGAGACCUGGGCCGAUACUGACGCUGAGGUGCGAAAGCGUGGGGAGCAAACAGA
rnacentral:rRNA from 1 species